rnacentral:rRNA from 1 species
GACGAACGCUGGCGGCGUGCUUAACACAUGCAAGUCGAACGAUGAAGCUGGAGCUUGCUCCGGUGGAUUAGUGGCGAACGGGUGAGUAACACGUGAGCAAUCUGCCCUUGACUCUGGAAUAACUGCGGGAAACUGUAGCUAAUACCGGAUACGUGGCUCGAAGGCAUCUUCGGGUCUGGAAAGAAUUUCGGUCAAGGAUGAGCUCGCGGCCUAUCAGCUUGUUGGUGAGGUAAUGGCUCACCAAGGCGACGACGGGUAGCCGGCCUGAGAGGGUGACCGGCCACACUGGGACUGAGACACGGCCCAGACUCCUACGGGAGGCAGCAGUGGGGAAUAUUGCACAAUGGGCGAAAGCCUGAUGCAGCAACGCCGCGUGAGGGAUGAAGGCCUUCGGGUUGUAAACCUCUUUUAGCAGGGAAGAAGCGAAAGUGACGGUACCUGCAGAAAAAGCACCGGCUAACUACAUGCCAGCCGCCGCGGUAA